UACGUAGGGGGCAAGAGUUGUCCGGAUUCAUUGGGCGUAAAGCGCGUGUAGGCGGCCAGGUAGGUCCGGUGUGAAAACUCGAGGCUCAACCUCGAGAGGUCAUCGGAAACCAUCUGGCUAGAGUCCGGAAGAGGAGAGUGGAAUUCCCGGUGUAGCGGUGAAAUGCGCAGAUAUCGGGAAGAACACCUAUGGCGAAGGCAGCUCUCUGGGACGGUACUGACGCUGAGACGCGAAAGCGUGGGGAGCGAACAGG
rnacentral:rRNA from 1 species